AUGAAGAUCUGCCAUCUGCCGGCAGUGAGUGGUACAACAGGCUCUCGUUGCCAGAAUUUGUCUAUCGCCUUCCGCCACAGUCACCAUUGGAGAGUAGCAGCCGUGGCUCUUCGCUAUCCUAUGGCCGUGGGCCUCAACAAGGGCCACAAGUAACCAAGAACGUGAGCAAGCCCAGGCACAGCCGCCGCCACAGGCAUCUGACCAAACACACCAAGUUCAUGCGGUACAUCAUCCGGGAGGUGUGUGGCUUUGCCCUGUACAAGCAGUGCGCCAUGGAGUUACUGAAGGUCUCCAAGGACAAACUUUUCCCUCAAGGUCAUCAGGAAAAGGGUAGGGACACACAUCCGCGCCAAGAGGAAACGGGAGGAGCUGAGCAAUGUCCUGGCCACCAUGAGGAAAGCCGCUGCCAAGAAAGACUAAGCCCCCUCCCCUGCCCUCUCCCUGAAAUAAACAGCUUGACACCCCCUUCCCCCCAAAAUAAGAAGUUCUAGCCAGAUUAAUCAGACAAGAAAAAUAAAUAAAGGGUAUUCAGUUAGGAAAGGAGGAAGUCAAACUGUCUCUAUUUGCAGAUGACAUGUUUUUUUUUUUUUUUGAGACGGAGUUUCGCUCUUGUUACCCAGGCUGGAGUGCAAUGGAGCCACUGCAACCUCUGCCUCCUGGGUUCAGGCAAUUCUCCUGCCUCAGCCUUCUGAGUAGCUGGGAUUACAGGCAUGCGCCACCACACCCAGCUAAUUUUUUGUAUUUUUAGUAGAGAUGGGGUUUCACCAUGUUGACCAGGAUGGUCUGGAUGUCUUGACCUCGUGAUCCACCCGCCUCGGCCUCCCGCAGUGCUGGGAUUACAGGCGUGAGCCAUUGCGCCGGGCCUGACAUGAUUGUAUAUAUAGAAGACCCCAUCGUCUCAGCCCAAAAUCUUCUCAAACUGAUAAGCAACUUCAGCAAAGUCUCAGGAUACAAAAUCAAUGUGCAGAAAUCACAAGCAUUCCUAUAUACCAAUAACAGACAGAGAGCCAAAUCAAAAGCGAACUAUCAUUCACAAUUGCUACAAAGAGAAUAAAAUACCUAGAAAUACAACUAACAAAAGAUGUAAAGGAGAACUACAAACCACUGCUUAAUGAAAUAAGAGAGGACACAAACAGAUGGAAAAACAUUCCAUGCUCAUGGUUAGGAAGAAUUAAUAUCAUGAAAAUGCCCAUACUGCCCACAGUAAUCUAUAGAUUCAAUGCUAUCCCCAUCAAGCUACCAAUGACCUACUUCGCAGAACUGGAGAAAACCACUUUAAACUUCAUAUGGAAUCACAAGAGAGCCUGCAUAGCCAAGACAAUCCUAAGCAAAAAGACCAAAGCCAGAGGCAUCAUACUGCCGGACUUCAAAAUAUACUACAAGGCUACAGUAAUCAAAACAGAAUGGUACUGGUACCAAAACAGAGACAUAGACCAAUGGAACAGAACAGAGGCCCCAGAAGAAACACCACACAUCUACAACCAUCUGUUUAUUGAUAGACCCAGCAAAAACAAGCAAUGGGGAAAGGACUCCAUGUUUAUUUUUUAUUUUUAUUUUUUUUUGAGACGGAGUUUCGCUCAUUACCCAGGCUGGAGUGAAUGGCGCAAUCUCAGCUCACCGCAACCUCCGCCUCCUGGGUUCAGGCAAUUCUCCUGCCUCAGCCUCCUGAGUAGCUGGGACUACAGGCACGCGCUACCAUGCCCAGCUAAUUUUUUUAUUUUUAUUUUUAGUAGAGAUGGGGUUUUACUAUGUUGACCAGAAUGGUCUCGAUCUCUUGACCUCAUGAUCCACCCGCCUCAGCCUCCCAAAGUGCUGGAAUUACAGGCGUGAGCCACCACGCCCGGCCCUAUUUUUUAAUUUUUAUUUUCGUUUUUUGAAACGGAGUUUUCGCUCUUGAUACCCAGGCUGGAGUGCAAUGGAGCAAUCUUGGCUCACUGCAACCUCCACCUCCUGGGUUCAGGCAAUUCUCCUGCCUCAGCCUCCUGAGUAGCUGGAAAUACAGGCACGUGCCACUGUGCCCAGCUAAUUUUUUGUAUUUUUAGUAGAGACGGGGUUUCACCAUGUUGACCAGGAUGGUCUCCAUCUCUUGACCUCGUGAUCCACCGCCUUGGCCUCCCAAAGUGUUGGGAUUACAGGCUUGAGCCACCGCACCCGGCUGGACUCCUUGUUUAAUAAAUGGUGUUGGGAAAACUGGCUAGCAAUGGGCAGAAAGCAGAAACUGGACCCCUACCUGUCACCUUACACUAAAAUUAACUCCAGAUGGAUUAGAGAUUUAAACAUAAAACCUAACACCAUAAAAACACUAGAAGAAAACGUAGGCAAAACUAUCCAGGACAUAGGCAUAGGCAAGGACUUCAUGCCUAAAACACCAAAAGCAAUGGCAAUAAAAGCCAAGAUAGACAAAUGGGAUCUAACUAAAAUUCAGAGCUUCUGUACAGCAAAAGAAACCAUCAUUAGAGUGAAUUUGCAAUCUACCCGUCAGACAAAGGGCUAAUAACCAGAAUCUACAAAGAACUAAAACAGAUACACAAGAAAAAAAACAAACAAGCCCAUUCAAAAGUGGACGAAGGAUAAAAACAGACACUGUUCUUUUUUUUUAAAAUUAUUUUAUUUUAUUUUUUUUGAGAUGGGGUUUCACCAUGUUGGUCAGGCUGGUCUUGAACUCCUGACUUUGUGAUCCACCCUCCAUGGCCUCCCGAAGUGCUGGGAUUAUAGGUGUGAGCCACCAUGACCGGCCAACAGACACUUUUCAAAAGAAGACAUAUAUGAGGCUAACAAACAUAUGAAAAAAUGCUCAUCAUCACUUGUCAAUAGAGAAAUGCAAAUCAGGCCGGGUGCAGUGGCUCGAGCCUGUAAUCCCAGCACUUUGGGAGGCCAAGGCAGGUGGAUCACCAGGUCAAGCAAUCGAGACCAUCUUGGCCAACAUGGUGAAACCCCGUCUCUACUAAAAAUACAAAAAUUAGCUGGGUGUGGUGGCGUGCACCUGUAGUCCCAGCUACUCAGGAGGCUGAGGCAGGAGAAUUGCUUGAACCCAGGAGGCGGAGGUUGCAGUGAGCCAAGAUUGUGCCACUGCACUCCAGCCUGGUGCCUGGCAACAGAGCGAGACUCUGUCUCAAAAAAAAAAAAAAAGAAAAAGAAAUGCAAAUCAAAACCACAUUGAGAUAUCAUCUCAAGCCAGUUAGAAUGGCAAUCAUUAAAAAAUCUGGAGACAACAGAUGCUGGAGAGGAUGUGGAGAAACAGGAACACUCUUACACAGGUAGGAGUGUAAAUUAGUUCAACCACUGUGGAAGACAGUGUGACGAUUUCUCAAGGAUCUAGAAAUAGAAAUUCCAUUUGAUCCAGCAAUCCCAUUACUGGGCAUAUAUCCAAAGAACUAUAAAUUGUUCUACUAUAAAGACACACGCACACGUAUGUUCAUUGCAGCCCCGUGUACAAUAGCAAAGACCUGGAACCAACCCAAAUGCCCAUCAAUGACAGACUAGACAAAGAAAAUGUGGUAUAUAUACAUUAUGGAAUACUAUGCAGCCAUAAAAAACGAUGAGUUCAUGUCCUUUGUAGGGACUUGGAUGAAUCUGGAAACCAUCAUUCUCAGCAAACUGACACAAGAACAGAAAGCCAAACACUGUAUGUUCUCACUCAUAGGUGAGUGUUGAACAAUGAGAACACGUGGACUCAGGGAGAGGAGCAUCACACACUGGGGCAGUUGUGAUGGGGAGGGAUAACCUGGGAAGAAAUGCCAGAUAUAAAGUUAAAAAAAUAAAUUUAAAAAAAUACUUAAUGUAAAAAAAAAAGAAAAAGUUGAGUUGCAGAGAAAGGGAGACGAGUGAUGGGGGGCCGAGACUCGUGGGUUCUGCUCUUCUUCUGAGGAGUUAGAUGCUUCCACCUGGGGCCAGAGGGUGGAGAACACACCUAAACAUGUGGAACCCCAAUGCCGGGCAGCUAAAUCCAUAUCCCCCCAACAUCGGGUGCCCUGGAAAUUCCAGUUCUGCCCACCCACCACCUGUCAAUCCAUCCUUUCCCCCAGGCCCCUAUCCUCCUCCCACAGGAGCUCCCCACUGCAAUCCAGUUUUCCCCCCAUGUGGGCCCCCUCCUCCUGUGUUACAGCCAGGGUAUCCAGGAUGCCAACCCUCUGGUCCCUACCCUCCUCCAUACCCACCCCCUGCCCCUGGAAUGCCUCCUGUGAAUCCCUUGGCUCCUGGCGUCGUUGGACCAACAGUGAUAGUGGACAAGAAGAUGCAGAAGAAAAUGAAGAAAGCUCAUAAAAAGAUGCACAAGCACCAUAAGCACCACAAGCAUGGCAAGCAUUCCUCCUCCUCUUCCAGCAGUGACUCUGACUGAAUACAGGCCCUGGACCCUUCCCUCAAGUCUCACCAGUUCUGCUCUCCCAUCAAGCUUCAGAUGCCAUGUUAUACUGGGGGAAAGUAGCUCUUGUGCUCCCUUCCCUCACCCCCACCUGAGCCUCACCCUGCUGUUCAGCCCUGAGUGCCUAGGAAAAAUGGGAAGAGGACUGCCAUGGCAUGGCUGUCUUCUUGCUGCUGGGAUAGAUCAUAUAGCUAAUGAGUUUAGCAGGGGAGCUAUUUUUUGAAGAUGAUGAACUAAAUGUUGAAGACAGGUUUGAGAUCUGUAAAAUGUGAUUUUUACUUCCUUUUAUAAUACUUUUGAUUGAGGGGUUUGUGGAAAUUUAAUUAUGAUGAAGAACCUCUAUCUUUUUUGUAAUGUUGGCAUACUUGGAGAAUUUAGUGGCAAAUACAUUCCCCAGCAGGCCUUUUUUUGGUUGCACUAACUGCAAGGUUGCUGGGAAGUAGAGUCCAUUUGGUUGAUGAGCCUUGACUGCUGUUUUGGAACCUCACCUCUUCUCCUUAGCCCAAUAUACUGUGUCAGGUCCUAUUCUCGUUCUCCAGCUCUCAGUCCAAAUAAAGUUAUUUCUCCUGGAAAAAAAAAA